UACGUAGGGUGCGAGCGUUGUCCGGAAUCAUUGGGCGUAAAGGGCUCGUAGGCGGUUUGUCGCGUCGGGAGUGAAAACCUUGGGCUUAACUCAGGGCUUGCUUUCGAUACGGGCAGACUAGAGGUAUGCAGGGGAGAACGGAAUUCCUGGUGUAGCGGUGAAAUGCGCAGAUAUCAGGAGGAACACCGGUGGCGAAGGCGGUUCUCUGGGCAUGAUCUGACGCUGAGGAGCGAAAGUGUGGGGAGCGAACAGG
rnacentral:rRNA from 1 species